rnacentral:rRNA from 1 species
GGUGGUUUGUCGCGUCGUCUGUGAAAUUCCGGGGCUUAACUCCGGGCGUGCAGGCGAUACGGGCAUAACUUGAGUGCUGUAGGGGAGACUGGAAUUCCUGGUGUAGCGGUGAAAUGCGCAGAUAUCAGGAGGAACACCGAUGGCGAAGGCAGGUCUCUGGGCAGUAACUGACGCUGAGGAGCGAAAGCAUGGGUAGCGAACAGGAUUAGAUACCCUGGUAGUCCAUGCCGUAAACGGUGGGCGCUAGGUGUAGGGGGCUUCCACGUCUUCUGUGCCGUAGCUAACGCAUUAAGCGCCCCGCCUGGGGAGUACGGCCGCAAGGCUAAAACUCAAAGGAAUUGACGGGGGCCCGCACAAGCGGCGGAGCAUGUGGAUUAAUUCGAUGCAACGCGAAGAACCUUACCUGGGCUUGACAUACACCAGAUCGCUGCAGAGAUGUAGUUUCCCUUGUGGUUGGUGUACAGGUGGUGCAUGGUUGUCGUCAGCUCGUGUCGUGAGAUGUUGGGUUAAGUCCCGCAACGAGCGCAACCCUUGUCUUAUGUUGCCAGCAUUUUAGUUGGGGACUCAUGAGAGACUGCCGGGGUUAACUCGGAGGAAGGUGGGGAUGACGUCAAAUCAUCAUGCCCCUUAUGUCCAGGGCUUCACACAUGCUACAAUGGUCGGUACAACGCGCAGCGACACUGUGAGGUGGAGCGAAUCGCUGAAAGCCGGCCUUAGUUCGGAUUGGGGUCUACUACUCGACCGCCAUGAAGUCGGAGUCGCUAGUAAUCG